rnacentral:rRNA from 1 species
AUUGAACGCUGGCGGCAGGCCUAACACAUGCAAGUCGAGCGAGCGGCGGACGGGUGAGUAAUGUAUUGGGACUGCCUGAUAGAGGGGGAUAACUACUGUAAAAGGUGGCUAAUACCGCUUACUAUCGGAUAACCCAUAUGGGAUUAGCUAGUAGGUGGGGUAAAGGCUCACCUAGGCGACGAUCCCUAGCUGGUCCGAGAGGAUGAUCAGCCACACUGGGACUGAGACACGGCCCAGACUCCUACGGAGGCAGCAGUGGGGAAUAUUGCACAAUGGGCGCAAGCCUGAUGCAGCCAUGCCGCGUGAAUGAAGAAGGCCUUAGGAUUGUAAAGUACUUUCAGCGGAGAGGCGUUACCCACCGAGAAAGCACCGGCUAACUCCGUGCCAGCAGCCGCGGUAAUAC